rnacentral:misc_RNA from 1 species
AGCUGGAUCAUUUUUCCGAUGAUUUAUAUCAAAAAAACACAGACAGCAGCAACAACUUUGCUUGCUUGCUUGUCACCAAAAACAAAACAAAAAAAACAUUUGCCGCUUGAUAUAUAUUUUUAUAUUGAGCACGGCCCCAACAACGUGUCGCGAUGGAUGACUUGGCUUCCUAUUUCGUUGAAGAACGCAGCAAAGUGCGAUAAGUGGUAUCAAUUGCAGAAUCAUCCAAUUACCGAAUCUUUGAACGCAAAAGGCGCAUGGGAGAAGCUCUUCACGAGUCAACCCCGUGCAUGCCGCUUCUCAGUGUCGAACAAAAAAAACAAAAAACCAUCGCACAUUUUGUGUGUUGGCAAUAAACAAAAAGAGAGUCUGCUGUCUGGACGAAAACACGCACUUCAUUUGUUGUUGUGUGUUAUGGUCCGCAGCGGCGCUUGUUGUUUUGUGUGUGCAUAAAAACACACACAAAACAACGAAAACAAAAAACAACACCAACAACAACAAACUUCUGUUUGCUUGCUGAAAAACAUUUGUUUACAGACCUGAGCGCGGCAGGACUACCCGCCGAACUUAAGCAUAUUACUCAGCGGAGGAAAAGAAAACAACCGUGAUUCCCUCAGUCAGCGGCGAGCGAAGAGGGACCGGACCCGUUGCCGAAUCGGGCCUCAAUGGCCUUGACCUGUGGCACAAACGCCGUACUGUGAAUGGUGCGGGAGUGGCGAAAUUCAACCGCAAAGCAAACCCAUUGCUGAAUACAACCCUUCAUGUGAGUAUUGAGCCAGAGAAGGUGUCAGCCCAUUGAGCCACGAACCCGAGCGCCACACGGAUGCGGUACCAAGAGAGUAGCACUGUUUGGGAAUGCAGUGUCAAGCGGCAGGUAUGUGUCUGCCAAGGUUAAAUACAGAGUAGGAAGACCGAUAGCGAACAAGUAGCGUGAGCGAAAGUUUGAAAAGCACUUUGGAAAGAGAGUGACAUAGAACCUGAAGUCGUGACAACGAUAAUGAAAGUACCUCCAUUUCAACGGCCAAAACCAGCCUCGCAGCAUUCUCCCGCCGGGGUCAUUCAAAAAUCCGGCGGGCAACGAAGUGCAAGAAUGAGGGUCUUGGUGAAAUGGGCGGGGAAACCAAGCGGCGCCACCGGCCUCAAAAACCGUGCUGCGUCGUUCUGCCCCGUGAUGCUCCAUGUUGGCGAUGGAAAUGGGGUGCCUUCACCCGUCUUGAAACACGGACCAAGGAGUCAAACAGACGCGCAAGGGAGAAGAUAUCAACACUAAAUACUUCUCUCGUACUGAAAGGGAGGUGCGAACGCACCCGUGGUGUGCACAAGAGAGUCACAUUUUUUGCCCAACACCGACCGGCCCCCCGUGGGUCGAGUUUGAGUGUGCCUGUUUGGACCCGAAAGGUGGUGAACUAUGCCUGAACAAGGUGAAGCCGGGGGAAACCCAGGUGGAGGCCUGUAGCGAUGCUGACGUGCAAAUCGCUCGCACGAUUUGGGUAUCGGAGCGAAAGACUCAUCGAACCACCUAGUAGCUGGUUCACAU